rnacentral:misc_RNA from 1 species
GAUGAAGAACGCAGUGAAAUGCGAUAAGUAAUGUGAAUUGCAGAAUUCAGUGAAUCAUCGAAUCUUUGAACGCACAUUGCGCCCGCCAGUAUUCUGGCGGGCAUGCCUGUUCGAGCGUCAUUACAACCCUCAGGCCCCCGGGCCUGGCGUUGGGGAUCGGCGGAAGCCCCCUGCGGGCACAACGCCGUCCCCCAAAUACAGUGGCGGUCCCGCCGCAGCUUCCAUUGCGUAGUAGCUAACACCUCGCAACUGGAGAGCGGCGCGGCCACGCCGUAAAACACCCAACUUCUGAAUGUUGACCUCGAAUCAGUUAGGAAUACCCGCUGAACUUAAGCAUAUCAAUAAGCGGAGGA